rnacentral:rRNA from 1 species
GAUGAAUGCUGGCGGCGUGCCUAACACAUGCAAGUCGAGCGAGAGCCAGCUGAGGGGUAACCCUCGGCUGGGGACAGCGGCGAACGGGUGCGUAACACGUGGGCAACCUGCCCCUGACACUGGGAUAACCCCGGGAAACCGGAGCUAAUACCGGAUACUCUCGGCCGAUCACAUGGCUGGCCGAGGAAAGGUCCGCCGGUCAGGGAUGGGCCCGCGGCCUAUCAGCUUGUUGGUGGGGUAACGGCCUACCAAGGCGACGACGGGUAGCCGGCCUGAGAGGGCGAACGGCCACACUGGAACUGAGACACGGUCCAGACUCCUACGGGAGGCAGCAGUGGGGAAUUUUGCGCAAUGGGCGAAAGCCUGACGCAGCAACGCCGCGUGGAGGAUGAAGGUCUUCGGAUCGUAAACUCCUGUCGAUGGGGACGAAAGCCCGCAAGGGUUUGACUGUACCCGUUGAGGAAGCCACGGCUAACUCCGUGCCAGCAGCCGCGGUAAUACGGAGGUGGCAAGCGUUGUUCGGAAUUACUGGGCGUAAAGGGCGCGUAGGCGGUUUGGCAAGUCAGAUGUGAAAGCCCCGAGCUUAACUCGGGAAUUGCAUCUGAAACUGCUUAACUUGAGUCCUGGAUGGGGUAGUGGAAUUCCCAGUG